rnacentral:rRNA from 1 species
CCAGACUCCUACGGGAGGCAGCAGUGGGGGAUAUUGCACAAUGGGGGGAACCCUGAUGCAGCGACGCCGCGUGGGUGAAGAAGCGCCUCGGCGCGUAAAGCCCUGUCAGCAGGGAAGAAAAUGACGGUACCUGAAGAAGAAGCCCCGGCUAACUACGUGCCAGCAGCCGCGGUAAUACGUAGGGGGCAAGCGUUAUCCGGAUUUACUGGGUGUAAAGGGGGCGCAGACGGCAGGGCAAGCCAGGAGUGAAAGACCGGGGGCCAACCCCGGGACUGCGCUUGGAACUGCGCGGGUGGAGUGCAGGAGGGGGAGGCGGAAUUCCUGGUGUAGCGGGGAAAUGCGUAGAGAUCAGGAG